rnacentral:rRNA from 1 species
CAGUCGCCGCGGGAAUGCGAGGGGGGCAAGCGUUGUUCGGAAUUAUUGGGCGUAAAGGGUGCGUAGGCGGUUUGACAAGUCUUGUGUGAAAUCUCUGGGCUCAACCCAGAGUCUGCACGGGAAACUGUCGGGCUAGAGGAUGGGAGAGGUGAGUGGAAUUUCCGGUGUAGCGGUGAAAUGCGUAGAUAUGCGGAGGAACACCGAUGGCGAAGGCAAUCCCCUGGACCUGUACUGACGCUCAUGCACGAAAGCGUGGGGAGCAAACAGGAUUAGAGACCCGCGUAGUCCCUGUCUCUUAUAC